UUUAGAUAAUUAUUCACGCUAUUUCUGCUGGAGUUACUAAUGCUCUUUUGUUUUUGUUUUUGUUUUUGUUUUUGUGUUUGUUUUUGUUUUUGUUUUUCCUUUCAUUCACUAAGCCGGGGGUCCAUUGGAAACAGCCUCUCUGCCCUUUCGGAUAGGGGUAAGGCUCGUCUACAUAUUACCCUUCCCAGACCCCACUUUGUGGGACUAUACUGGGUUGUUGUUGUUAUCCAAAAGCAUUGUCCAAUUCGUCAUUGAAUUAGUUUAAGUUGAGAGUCAUGCUUUCAAGCACUGCAGUAAAGAAAACAUUAUUUUUCUAUCUUCUGUACCAGGGUUUGAUGUCAAUGACCUAUCUGAAAAUGCUAUUGAUGAUGAUGAGGGUUUAGAUGCUUCAGCAGCAUAUGUGGCGAGUUUGUUGGCUACGGAGCCCCCUCACAGUAAGCCGUUCCUGUGUCUUAUACUAACUUGUGCACAAUCAUUUGAAUCACAAACUUGUAUAAAGCACAUGUUUUACCCAUGAAGGGAUAACCCCUCGCAUCGAAUCGCUUCAAGCGGCCAAGGGAUGGAUUUUAAUAAUAGUGUAUACUAUGAUGUCUGACUAAGGAUAUUUAGCUUUCCAUCUCCCUCUUUUUUUUUUCAAUGUUAUUCUCUUUAUGCUGCUGGAUUUUUGGUGUGACUGUGUUUACUGCUUGAGGGGUUGCUCUGAUGGUAAGCAACCCCCACUUUCAAUCGAGAGGUUGUGAGUUCGAGUC
rnacentral:lncRNA from 1 species